rfam:Gossypium arboreum cultivar AKA8401 contig_4842_11, whole genome shotgun sequence.
UCGAUCUUAGUUCAAUCAGGUAGAACGUGGGUUUCCAAAAUCCAAUGUCAUAGGUUCAAAUCCUACAGAGUGUG